GUUAGUUCUGUCCGGGCAAAAACUGAAGCUGUUCUAGGAUGUAGCAGGCACACGACAUGACUGCCUCCUCGGCCUGCCUAUAUUUCAGUUAUCAAACCUGGCCUGCAAGUAAAGAAUGGAAGUCAAGAUACCCCAUCUAACUCCAGCGCCUCAACAAAGAAUUCUGACACCUCCCAAAAGAAUCCGCUUUCCACCCAACAAACCAACCUUUAAAAAAAUUGUCACAGUGCCGACUUCUUCUGCAUCCAAUUCCUCAAUUCAAAUUCAUCUUCCUCUUCGACGACCCCAACACAAAUCCACCCAGAAAACCGAAAAAAAUUCGAAUGAUUGUAAACCCAGCAAUUGUUCUACUGUGUCAGACGUUUUAGGCUUGUUGGACUGCCUUAAAAUCCCCGUUUCUCUCGACCUUUAUGCUUCAUUUAUCGAUGAAUGUACAAAGAGUGGUGACCCCUUACUAGCAAUUGAACUCCAUAACCAUAUUAAGACGAGUUGUCUACGCCCUUCGUUGUCGAUAUUUAAUCGCCUGCUGUUGAUGUAUGUUUCGUGUAACUUGAUUGGAUAUGCACGGGAACUGUUUGAUAAAAUGACUGUGAGAAGUUCUUGUACUUGGGCUGUAAUGGUUGCUGGGUAUUUCGAAAAUGGUGAUUAUGGGGAGGUUAUUGAUCUGUUUUUGGAAAUGCAGUGCUCGGAGCGAGCUAAAGUUGAUGGUGAUAUGGAUGACAUAGUGGCUUCUGCUAUAGUUGUGUGUGUUCUUAAGGCUUGUGCUAAAACAGUGAAUAUGGAACUUGGCAAACAGGUACACGCUUGGGUUGUGAAGAUGGGUUAUGGCGAGAAUCUGGUUUUCAGUGGCUCUUUAAUGCGCUUUUAUGGGAAAGCAGGGUUUCUAGAAGGUUCUGACUGUGUUUUUUAUCAGGUUCCAAAUCGGAAUAAGGUGAUAUGGACAACUAAGAUUGUUAAUCAUUGCUACGAGGAGCAGUUUGAUGAGGCAUUUGAUGUGUUUAAACAAAUGGGGAGGGAGGGUGUAAAGAAGAAUAGUUAUACUUUUUCAAGUGUUCUUAAAGCAUGUGCGAGUAUGAGGGAUGGCGGAUGUUGUGGUCAGCAAGUACAUGCAAAUGUCGUCAAGUUAGGACUGGAGCUUAAUGAGCAUGUACAGUGUGGGUUGGUUAACAUGUAUGGUAAAGGUGGGUUAAUAAAGGAUGCGCAGAAAGUUUUCAAGAUUUGUGGGAACAAUAGAAGUGGUGCUUGCUGGAAUGCAAUGCUUACUGGUUAUAUACAACAAGGGCUUGGCAUUGAAGCCUUUAGAAUCAUAUGUGAUAUGAAGGCAGCCGGCUUGCAACCCCAAGAAUCAUUACUCAAUGAAGUGAGGUUCAUUUGUGGGAGUAGUUUGAUUGAGAAUACAAAAUGAUAGAUAUGAUUACUAGAGUGAUGAUUGCUAUUGGUUUUUGAAAGCAGAUUAGAAUCCUGCUUUGCACAUAUUUAUAUCAAGCUAAUGACUUUAUUGUAGCAUAUCAUAGCCGGACUAUUGAUGGAAGAUGUUUUCUGAUUCCUACUGAUAUUCUCUGAAGAGGAUUUGAAUACUAUCUCCCUGAAAGAUAUCCCAUGCAACUAGCACAAACAUGUGCAGAGUGUCUUGCCUAACUUUCAUCGACUUUAGUGGGACGUGAAUCCGCUUAUUUACAUGUAGAUAUAUGGAAAUUUCUGUUCAAGUACCAUAGUCAUUUCCUUUAUGGGUUAGUUUACAGACACAUCAUCACUGUAGAGACUGACGUAGUGAUUGGAUCAAAGCAAUGAACUGCUCAAUUUUGACUGAUGCAGGGUCUAGAAGCUUCUAUGUCUGCCCGUAAAAUGGUGUGGGCUGCCACACUUGGCUUCUGAUGCAGGACUCUGUUGAUAGCAGUGACUUUAGCAACUUUCAUGAGUAGCAUCUAUCACUCUUGCUUUUAGAGAGCCUAGCUGCAGGAGCAUAUCGGGGCCUUGGCCACCUGGGAACCCAUCAACACCAUUGGUAAGCAACUUGUUGGCUGUUCAACAAGCUGCUGCAAGGAAUACUGCAAUUCCUGAACAAAAUUCAACAGAGACUAAGACUUCCAACUUGGUAGGACUGCAAACUACUGCUCAUGCUACCCUGAGAGCUGAAAUAUCUUCAUCCAACUUGCCAGUGCCCACGCCACCAUCUCAAACUUCUGCAAUGCUGGUUAUUGCCCAUUCUUCAGUUAUCUCGCGAACUGGGACCAACGCUGCAUAUUCCCCAUCUUCGCGGAAACUAGCAAUGACCGAUUCCUCUGAGACCCUAUCAGGACCAUACCAUCCAUCAGUGCUUUCAACCAGUCAUUGGAGGCCACUCUAUCCCAAACAUCUGUUUGUCAGAAAACUUCAAUGUGGGACGUGGAGUAAGGGCACCUGCUGCACAUCUACGACACAAUAUAUGCUUCAGUAGUUGUACAUCCAGAGUCCAGCCCUAGAUGACCAUAACUUCAGUCAUCAAUAAGGUGUCACCAUUCAGCGUGCAGGUGACAUGAUUUGUGCUCAAUAGACCCCAGAAUUGCUGAAAUGCUAUAUCUGAAUCACCUGGUAGGAUUAUCCAUCGGUGAGACUGGGGGGUUGUCCAAUGAAUGAUGAAUCCUUGGUGGAUUUAGGUUAAGAUUUGUAGGGAUUCUUUCAUAAGAUAAUCACUGUUGCUUC